rnacentral:rRNA from 1 species
AGUGAACGCUGGCGGUAGGCCUAACACAUGCAAGUCGAACGGCAGCACAGUAAGAGCUUGCUCUUACGGGUGGCGAGUGGCGGACGGGUGAGGAAUACAUCGGAAUCUACUUUUUCGUGGGGGAUAACGUAGGGAAACUUACGCUAAUACCGCAUACGACCUACGGGUGAAAGCAGGGGGUCUUCGGACCUUGCGCGAUUGAAUGAGCCGAUGUCGGAUUAGCUAGUUGGCGGGGUAAAGGCCCACCAAGGCGACGAUCCGUAGCUGGUCUGAGAGGAUGAUCAGCCACACUGGAACUGAGACACGGUCCAGACUCCUACGGGAGGCAGCAGUGGGGAAUAUUGGACAAUGGGCGCAAGCCUGAUCCAGCCAUACCGCGUGGGUGAAGAAGGCCUUCGGGUUGUAAAGCCCUUUUGUUGGGAAAGAAAAGCAGCAGGUUAAUACCCCGCUGUCCUGACGGUACCCAAAGAAUAAGCACCGGCUAACUUCGUG